CCUACGGGUGGCAGCAGUGGGGAAUAUUGGGCAAUGGACGCAAGCCUGACCCAGCAACGCCGCGUGAAGGAAGACGGCUUUCGGGUUGUAAACUUCUUUUGUCAGGGAAGAGUAGAAGACGGUACCUGACGAAUAAGCCACGGCUAACUACGUGCCAGCAGCCGCGGUAAUACGUAGGUGGCAAGCGUUGUCCGGAUUUACUGGGUGUAAAGGGCGUGUAGCCGGGUUGACAAGUCAGGUGUGAAAGCCUGCGGCUUAACCGCAGAACUGCCUUUGAAACUGGUGAUCUUGAGUACUGGAGAGGUAGACGGAAUUCGCGGUGUAGCGGUGAAAUGCGUAGAUAUUAGGAGGAACACCAGUGGCGAAGGCGGUCUGCUGG
rnacentral:rRNA from 1 species